rnacentral:rRNA from 1 species
AUACGUAGGGGGCGAGCGUUGUCCGGAAUUACUGGGCGUAAAGAGCACGUAGGCGGCUAUAUAAGUCAGGUGUGAAAAACCUGGGCUUAACCGAGGGUUUGCAUCUGAAACUAUAUAGCUUGAGUCAAGGAGAGGAGAGCGGAAUUCCUGGUGUAGCGGUGAAAUGCGUAGAGAUCAGGAAGAAUACCAGUGGCGAAAGCGGCUCUCUGGACUUGAACUGACGCUGAGGUGCGAAAGCGUGGGGAGCAAACAGGAGUAGAUACAGUGGUAGUCCACGCCGUAAACGAUGGAUACUAGGUGUGGGUGAGGAAUCAUCCGUGCCGGAGUUAACGCAAUAAGUAUCCCGCCUGGGGAGUACGGCCGCAAGGUUGAA